UUCUUGUUCCUUUCUCGAUUCAAUUUCUGCUAGCGAUUCAUCCAUGUGCACGUUCCAUUUGUGCGCUACAAUUUAUCAUGGCUAGGACUAACUUCGUGUGUUCUGGUCCUUUGGAAGCUCCGUGGCACCAAGUUUUCUUGCAGAAAUUAAAAAUCCAGUGAAUGCAUACGUUUAUUGAUGACAACUAACAAGGUCCAUGUGACGGUUUGUCGACACUGCUGGAUUGGCUUAUCUGCCAUGGUGCAUUGCUUUUAAUGCAAGAUCAAAAUUUGAAGAUGGCAACUAAGGGGUUGAUCCAUUACUUUUUUUGUUACCUUCUAAUUUAUAAUGAAAUGUCACUGCAUAUUGUCUUGUAUCUUGUGAAAUUUGGUGUUGUAAUUCAGAAAAUGGGUUGUAAUUGCUUAUUGUGAUUUCUUGGAUGAAAAUAUUGUUUUAAUAAGUGGGCUUGAAAAACUGGUGGGCUGUUUUUUUGUAUGGGCUGUGUAUAAAGCUGAAUUUGGUUAGCUAAUAAUGAAUGUUUGGGCUGAAAUUA